GGACUAAUAUAUCGGUCGUGCCUCGGUACGUACUGGUAUUUUUGGUUUCUCCCUUCUGACGAACCUUGAUGUCAUUAAUUUGGUGUCUUGGGGAAUCAGGACUGUUACUUUGAAAAAUUAGAGUGUUUAAAGCAGGCUCACGCUUGAAUACAUUAGCAUGGAAUAAUGAAAUAGGACGUUUGAUUCUAUUUUGUUGGUUUCUAGGAUCGACGUAAUGAUUAAUAG
rnacentral:rRNA from 1 species